ensembl:processed_transcript Trerf1 transcriptional regulating factor 1
GGAGCUUAGGAACGGUUGCUAGGGCACACCCCCUUCCCUCUAUGCGAUGGCUGAGAGGCGGUGCAUGCAGAUGGGGACUCGGCUCGCCCCCCAUCUCACCCCCCCAAGUGGAGAUUGGUCGUCUUGUCGGAUUGCCCAGGCACUUGUUGCCGAAACAGCCAAGGCUCCAGCUCCAGAGGUCAGUGAAGGAGGAAGACACGGGAGCAAGACUACCCUGAAGGGCUCACCAGCGGUCUCAACCCUGAAACAGACCCGGGUCUCUUCUUCCCACCUGCCGAGCAGCAUGUGAGCAGCAUGACUGGCCAGCUGCAGGAGAAGCCCCCAGAGCCAGGACCGCGACACAGCCACCCGCUGCCAAGGUCAAGGUGUGAAGGACUUUCCCCCACCACGGUGGUGUCUGGUCCGUACCUCCGCCCGGGUGAGGAUGUAGGCACCUCGGCUCUGCUGAUGACCUGUUCAAGCCAACAGGGACCCCUGUCUCCAGCCACCCUCACAGACAUGUCAGCCGUGGAGUAGGGUGGACGCUUUCUCUCAUCUUCUCAGGGUUUCAGGAUUUUUCUUCUUUCUUUUUUUCUUUUUUUUUUUCUUGGUUUUUGGUUUUUGUUUUGUGGCUGAACACUCAUAAGCAAAGAGGACAUCAUGGGGGACCAGCAACUGUACAAGACCAAUCACGUGGGCCACGGUGGUGAGAACCUCUUCUAUCAACAGCCACCCCUUGGUGUCCACAGUGGGCUGGGCCACAGCUAUGGGAAUACAAUCUCUGGGGCUGGGAUGGACGCCCCGCAGGCCUCACCCAUCUCGCCUCACUUCCCUCAAGAUACUCGGGAUGGUCUCGGCUUGCCUAUUGGCUCCAAAAACCUUGGCCAGAUGGAUACCUCCAGGCAGGGAGGAUGGGGAAGCCAUGCAGGGCCUGGGAACCACGUCCAGCUUCGUAGCAACUUGGCCAACUCAAACAUGAUGUGGGGGACGCCCACCCAGGUGGAGCCCGCUGAUGGCUACCAAUACACUUAUUCCCAGGCCAGCGAGAUCCGGACCCAGAAACUCACCAGUGGUGUUUUGCACAAGCUGGACUCUUUCACCCAGGUAUUUGCCAACCAAAACCUGCGGAUUCAGGUCAACAAUAUGGCCCAGGUGCUGCACACCCAAUCAGCGGUGAUGGAUGGAGCCUCCGACAGUGCCCUCCGUCAACUGCUGUCUCAGAAGCCCGUGGAGCCCUCAGCAUCAGCUAUAGCUUCCCGCUACCAGCAGGUGCCCCAGCAGCCUCACCCUGGCUUCACGGGUGGACUGCCCAAACCAGCCCUUCCAGUCGGGCAGCACGCUCCCCAAGGGCACCUGUAUUAUGACUACCAGCAGCCCCUGGCCCAGAUGUCCAUGCAAGGAGGACAGCCACUGCAAGCCCCUCAGGUGCUGUCCGGCCAUAUGCAACAAUUGCAGCAGCACCAGUAUUACCCACAGCCGCCGCCUCAGCAGCAGCAAGCCGGACUGCAGCGGAUCUCUGUGCAGGAGAUGCAGCAGCAGCAGCAGCCGCAGCAAAUUCGCCCCUCACCACCUCAGCAGCAGCAGCAGCUCCAGCUGCAGCAGCGGCAGAGUUCACUGCAGAUACCUCAGUAUUAUCAGCCCCAACCCAUGAUGCAACACUUGCAAGAGCAGCAGCAGCCAUCCAUGCACCUGCAGCCACCCUCAUACCACAGGGACCCUCAUCAGUAUACCCCGGAGCAGGCACACGCUGUCCAGCUGAUCCAGCUGGGCUCUAUGCCCCAGUAUUACUAUCAGGAGCCUCAACAGGCCUAUAGCCACCCCCUCUACCCGCAGAGCCACCUGUCCCAGCACCAGCAGCGUGAAGACGGUCAGCUGAAGACAUAUUCUAGUGACAGACAGACCCCGGCUAUGCUGAGCUCCCAUGGGGACAUGGGAACUUCUGAUACAGGAAUGGCAGAUCCAGCCAGCUCAGAAAUGACUCGGGUCACUAGUACUCUUCCUCACCAACCGCUCCUGUCCCCCAGUGGGAUCCACCUCAACAACAUGGGGUCUCAGCAUCAACAGCCGCCAUCUCCCAGUGCGAUGUGGCCCCAGAUGCACUUACCUGAUGGGAGAGCCCAGUCCGGAUCCCCGGAAUCAAGCAGCGGCCAAACCAAAGGAGUGUUUGGGGAACAGUUUGAUGCCAAGAACAAGCUGACAUGCUCCAUCUGCCUGAAGGAGUUCAAAAGCCUGCCCGCCCUGAACGGCCACAUGCGGUCCCACGGGGGGAUGAGGGCGUCCCCCAGCCUCAAACAGGAGGAAGGAGAGAAGGCCCCACCGCCUCAGCCUCAGCCCCAGCCUCAGCCCCAGCCGCCACUGCCACCUCCGCCUCCUCCGCCGCCGCCACCGCAGCUCCCUCCUGAGGCAGAGCGCCUCACGCCUAUGGUCAUGCCCGUGUCUGUCCCUGUCAAGCUAAUCCCACCCAAGCCCAGCUCUCAGGGGUUCACCAACAGCGUCGCUGCCACCCCCGCGGCCAGAGACAAGCCAGCCAGCUCGAUGUCGGACGACGAGAUGCCUGUGCUCGUGAGGAUGACCCUCUCCCCCCCUCACUCUCCCCAAGGGGCUGCCCCCCGUGCGCCUGCUGAAAUCCCCCGGAAACAUCCACCUAUCGCCGCCAAAGUUGAGGAGCCCCUCAAGAACCUACCAGAGAAGAAGAAAUUCCGGCACCGGCCUGAGCCCCUCUUCAUCCCACCACCGCCUUCGUCCUAUACUCCCAACCCCACCUCUUACUCGGGGGCCACCCUGUACCAGAGCCAGCUGCGCUCCCCGCGAAUCCUCGGGGACCACCUGCUCCUGGACCCCGCCCACGAACUGCCCCCCUACACGCCGCCACCCAUGCUGAGCCCUGUGCGCCAGGGCUCAGGGCUCUUCAGCAAUGUCCUCAUCUCUGGCCACGGCCCUGGAGUGCACCCCCAGCUGCCCCUCACUCCCCUCACGCCCACGCCACGUGUGCUGCUGUGCCGUUCCAGCAGCAUCGAUGGCAGCAAUGUGACAGUCACCCCAGGACCUGGAGAGCAGACUGUGGAUGUUGAACCACGCAUCAACAUUGGCUUAAGGUUCCAAGCAGAGAUCCCAGAACUGCAAGACGUCUCCGCCCUGGCUCAGGACACACACAGGGCCACACUGGUAUGGAAGCCGUGGCCUGAGCUGGAAAACCAGGCCCUCCAGCAGCAAGUGGAGAAUCUUCUGAAUUUGUGUUGUUCCAGUGCGCUGCCAGGUGGAGGAACCAAUUCGGAAUUUGCUUUGCACUCUCUCUUUGAGGCCAAAGGUGACGUGAUGGCUACCCUGGAAAUGCUGCUGCUGCGGAAGCCAGUCAGGUUAAAAUGUCAUCCUUUAGCAAAUUACCACUACGCCGGUUCUGACAAGUGGACAUCCCUAGAAAGAAAACUGUUUAAUAAAGCAUUGGCCACUUACAGCAAAGACUUUAUUUUUGUACAGAAGAUGGUGAAGUCCAAGACAGUGGCUCAGUGCGUGGAGUACUACUACACUUGGAAGAAGAUAAUGCGACUAGGCCGGAAACACCGGACACGCCUGGCGGAAAUCAUUGACGACUGCAUGACCAGCGAAGAGGAAGAGGAGGCUGAGGAGGAAGAAGAGGACCCAGAAGAAGAUAGGAAAUCCAUAAAAGAAGAGGAGAGUGAAGUGGCCAAGUCUCCAGAGCCACCGCCUGCCCCUGCCCUGGCUCCCACUGAGGGGCCACCCAUGCAGGCUGUUGGCCAACAACCAUCAGGCAACUUCAUUUGUGAAAUGCCCAACUGUGGGGCUGUGUUCAGCUCCCGACAGGCACUGAACGGUCACGCCCGCAUCCACGGCGGCACCAACCAGGUGGCUAAGACCCGAGGUGCCAUCCCCUCUGGGAAGCAGAAGCCAGGUGGCACCCAGAGUGGGUACUGCUCAGUGAAGAGUUCACCAUCUCACAGUACCACCAGUGGAGAGACGGACCCCACCACCAUCUUCCCCUGCAAGGAGUGUGGCAAGGUCUUCUUUAAGAUCAAAAGCCGGAAUGCGCACAUGAAAACCCACCGGCAGCAAGAGGAGCAGCAGAGGCAGAAGGCUCAGAAGGCAGCCUUCGCAGCAGAAAUGGCAGCCACCAUCGAGAGGACUACGGGGCCGGUGGGGGCGCCCGAGCUGCUGCCCCUGGACCAACUGAGUCUGAUGAAGCCAGUCAAGGACGUGGACAUCCUGGAUGACGAUGUGGUCCAGCAGUUAGGCGUCAUGGACGAGGCCGAGGUGGUAGGCACGGAUCUUCUCUUGGACGACCAAGAUUCGGUUUUGCUUCAGGGUGAUACAGAACUCUAAACCCUCCCGUUCAUCACCUAGAGACACAGAAGCCACGGCCUCCACCUCUGUCACCCGUAGAACCUGGACUUCCUGCUCCUUUGGAAACCCUUUUAAACUACCUGUUUAAAAAGCGGUCCUUUUCUUCAGGUUAAGGGAGGGGAAAAAUCCAGUCCUUUCUCUUUUACCUUCUUUUACAUUGUUUUUGUUGGGGGUUGGGGGGAAUAAAAAAAAUUGGCACAACUAUC